rnacentral:rRNA from 1 species
GAACUGAAGAGUUUGAUCAUGGCUCAGAUUGAACGCUGGCGGCAGGCCUAACACAUGCAAGUCGAGCGGAUGAAGGGAGCUUGCUCCCGGAUUCAGCGGCGGACGGGUGAGUAAUGCCUAGGAAUCUGCCUGGUAGUGGGGGACAACGUUUCGAAAGGAACGCUAAUACCGCAUACGUCCUACGGGAGAAAGCAGGGGACCUUCGGGCCUUGCGCUAUCAGAUGAGCCUAGGUCGGAUUAGCUAGUUGGUGAGGUAAUGGCUCACCAAGGCGACGAUCCGUAACUGGUCUGAGAGGAUGAUCAGUCACACUGGAACUGAGACACGGUCCAGACUCCUACGGGAGGCAGCAGUGGGGAAUAUUGGACAAUGGGCGAAAGCCUGAUCCAGCCAUGCCGCGUGUGUGAAGAAGGUCUUCGGAUUGUAAAGCACUUUAAGUUGGGAGGAAGGGUUGUAGAUUAAUACUCUGCAAUUUUGACGUUACCGACAGAAUAAGCACCGGCUAACUCUGUGCCAGCAGCCGCGGUAAUACAGAGGGUGCAAGCGUUAAUCGGAAUUACUGGGCGUAAAGCGCGCGUAGGUGGUUCGUUAAGUUGGAUGUGAAAUCCCCGGGCUCAACCUGGGAACUGCAUCCAAAACUGGCGAGCUAGAGUAUGGUAGAGGGUGGUGGAAUUUCCUGUGUAGCGGUGAAAUGCGUAGAUAUAGGAAGGAACACCAGUGGCGAAGGCGACCACCUGGACUGAUACUGACACUGAGGUGCGAAAGCGUGGGAGCAAACAGGAUUAGAUACCCUGGUAGUCCACGCCGUAAACGAUGUCAACUAGCCGUUGGGAGCCUUGAGCUCUUAGUGGCGCAGCUAACGCAUUAAGUUGACCGCCUGGGGAGUACGGCCGCAAGGUUAAAACUCAAAUGAAUUGACGGGGCCCGCACAAGCGGUGGAGCAUGUGGUUUAAUUCGAAGCAACGCGAAGAACCUUACCAGGCCUUGACAUCCAAUGAACUUUCCAGAGAUGGAUUGGUGCCUUCGGGAACAUUGAGACAGGUGCUGCAUGGCUGUCGUCAGCUCGUGUCGUGAGAUGUUGGGUUAAGUCCCGUAACGAGCGCAACCCUUGUCCUUAGUUACCAGCACGUAAUGGUGGGCACUCUAAGGAGACUGCCGGUGACAAACCGGAGGAAGGUGGGGAUGACGUCAAGUCAUCAUGGCCCUUACGGCCUGGGCUACACACGUGCUACAAUGGUCGGUACAAAGGGUUGCCAAGCCGCGAGGUGGAGCUAAUCCCAUAAAACCGAUCGUAGUCCGGAUCGCAGUCUGCAACUCGACUGCGUGAAGUCGGAAUCGCUAGUAAUCGCGAAUCAGAAUGUCGCGGUGAAUACGUUCCCGGGCCUUGUACACACCGCCCGUCACACCAUGGGAGUGGGUUGCACCAGAAGUAGCUAGUCUAACCUUCGGGAGGACGGUUACCACGGUGUGAUUCAUGACUGGGGUGAAGUCGUAACAAGGUAGCCGUAGGGGAACCUGCGGCUGGAUCACCUCCUUAA